rnacentral:rRNA from 1 species
AGCAGCCGCGGUAAUUCCAGCUCCAAUAGCGUAUAUUAAAGUUGUUGCAGUUAAAAAGCUCGUAGUUGAAUUUCGGGAUCAAUAUGUCUGUCGUGCCUUCGGUACGUACGGGUAUAAUUGGUUUCUACCUUCUGAUGAACCUUGAUGCCAUUAAUUUGGUGUCUUGGGGACUCAGGACUGUUACCUUGAAAAAAUUAGGGUGUUUAAAGCAGGCAUACGCUUGAAUACAUUAGCAUGGAAUAAUGAAAUAGGACGUUCGAUUCUAUUUUGUUGGUUUCUAGGAUCGACGUAAUGAUUAAUAGGGAUAGUUGGGGGCAUUAGUAUUCAAUUGUCAGAGGUGAAAUUCUUGGAUUUAUUGAAGGCUAACUACUGCGAAAACAUUUGCCAAGGAUGUUUUCAUUAAUCAAGAACGAAAGUUAGGGAUCGAAGACGAUCAGAUACCGUCGUAGUCUUAACCAUAAACUAUGCCGACUAGGGAUCGGAUGAUGUUAAUUUUUAUGACUCAUUCGGCGCCUUACGG